AUUGAACGCUGGCGGAAUGCUUUACACAUGCAAGUCGAACGGCAGCACGGACUUCGGUCUGGUGGCGAGUGGCGAACGGGUGAGUAAUGUAUCGGAACGUGCCCAGUCGUGGGGGAUAACGUAGUGAAAAUUACGCUAAUACCGCAUACGAUCUAUGGAUGAAAGCGGGGGAUCGCAAGACCUCGCGCGAUUGGAGCGGCCGAUAGCAGAUUAGGUAGUUGGUGGGGUAAAGGCCCACCAAGCCAACGAUCUGUAGCUGGUCUGAGAGGACGACAAGCCACACUGGAGCUGAGACACGGUCCAGACUCCUACGGGAGGCAGCAGUGGGGAAUUUUGGACAAUGGGCGAAAGCCUGAUCCAGCCAUUCCGCGUGCAGGAUGAAGGCCCUCGGGUUGUAAACUGCUUUUGUACAGAACGAAAAGGUUUCUACUAAUACUAGGAGCUCAUGACGGUACUGUAAGAAUAAGCACCGGCUAACUACGUGCCAGCAGCCGCGGUAA
rnacentral:rRNA from 1 species